rnacentral:lncRNA from 1 species
CCAGACAAAGUAUGGCUCGAUGAAUCAAGCAUAUAUUUUGGAACAAGUAAAUCAUAAGACAAACUUAUGAGAAAUCAUAAAUGCCUAGAAUGACUUAUAGAAGUAAAUUCUGCCAAGCUACCUAAAGAUUUUGUGGAAAUAGAUUUGUAAACACAACAUAAGAGUUAUUAAAUAAGACAAUUUUGAAAAGAUGGAGGUGAUUAGAAAUCAACAAACCAAAUGCAGGACCAGAGGAGGUUCCACAACACUUCAAUGCAUGAAAUAAAAAAGGUACACACAUUCACUCAAGGGUAAUGAGGAUGUUGGGGUAUGUACAGGGCAUAUAGUAAGCACAGAUGCACAUAGGUAUAGUGUGAACUUCAAAGUUAAUAAGGAAUCAAACAGGCUUAGAAUAGCUAAGUAGUUUGCACAGGAAGGUGCAUUUCAGAAAUUAGAGAAACAUAGUCAUAUUGGGGUAUACUAGAAAGGAAUUCAUGAGCAGGCUAACGCUAAUAAAGCAUAUUCAGAAGCAUGCAGUAAAGAAGACAGUGAAGUAGACUUGUUAGUUGCAGGUUGAACAACAAAACAAUAAAUAGAAGCAUAUUAGAAACAUGACAAUUUGAAGUAGUAGGAGAAGCAUAUUGUUUUGGGAUUUUAAUUGAAAUUAGAAGAUAACAGUAAAGAGAUAUUAAACACAAAGUGAAAGAGGACCCAAUAGUUAGCCUUGGAUUUCAGUCAGCUAACUUAGAACAAUAAUAAGAAACACAAAAAAGAGCAUAAAGAUUUUAGUGAGAAUGAGAGAGAGAGAGAGAGAGAGAGUGUGUGUGUGUUGAACCAAUCUGUUCGUGUGUUGUGUUAGUGAAAGAGCGGGGUAUUUAUAGUUUGAAAGUAGGCAUAAAAUAAGGCAAAAAUCAAAGUUUGGCAAUAGUUAUAGAACUAUGUACUAAUUAGAAUCAAAUCAAUGCAAGAACUCCCUUAAUUAAGGGAUAAUUAACCAACGGUACUGGGCAGAAAAUAUUUAAGGAAAGAAAUCAUGUAAGACAUUAGGUACAAAACAUAUAAUUAGGGAUAACUACGCAAGGGUUCAAUUAAGAAAACAGGUAGUGAAAAAUCAUCAAAUAGCACAGUUAACCCAGAUAAGUAAAGAAAACUAAAUAAGGUUGUAGAAUAUG